CAAGGGCUUUAUAUCAAUAAACUUAACAUUAGCUUAAAUCUGAGCUCAGAUCAGUGUGGGGUUAAUUGGAUAGGGGUACGCAGAGGGCAAAGUGAAUGCAAUUUGUCAUUCUAAUAAAAGACUGCAGCAGGUGCUUUCACUUAUUAGUUCCUCCUCCUCCUCUUCCUGCCACUCCUCCUCCACUCUGGCUGAUUAAGUACUAAUAAGUGACAUUGUCUGCUGUUGUCUGUGGAUGGAACAAAGCCUUGCCUGUACGCAUCAACCCUAGGGCACAUAUGAUUGAAAAGCACAUAUGAUUGAGCUCUGAAAUUGAAUGUUUAUUGUGGAGUCCUGAGAGCAAGACGAGCUGUCUUCUCCAGACAGAAACGAUGGCCUACCUUGAUCAGACUGCUGCGUCGAGGAAUUGGUUUGGAGGCUGAAACUGAUCCCGCGCUCUCCCCCGUCGGGGACUCGCAGCUGGAUUCGUUUUGGACCCUCUUCACGGUGUCUGACACGCUGCAGUUUCCGUUUGACACCGGCUCUGCUCGGUGCGUCUCCAGGCUCAUCCCGGCUCCUCCUGACGCAGCUUUCCAGCCAGCAACCUGCAGACCGACGGCUCUUUUGUUCUCUCCAAAUUCAGCCAUGGUGACACUUUUUGGGUUUCUCAGAUCUCUUGAAAGCACCGUGACUCCGAACGCAACAGCGCUUCACGCGGACGCAUGGGUGCCAUUAUUUGAAGUGAGCGAUGUGCGACCGUGCGCCAAGAGCAGAGGAAACUUGUCUCUCUCUCUCUCUCUCUCUCUCUCUCUCUCUCUCUCUCUCUCUCGCGACAGCAGUGACCGACACCUACUAGACCCCCGCCGCAAACACUCAACACAUCUCCGGCCGCUUCAGCUGGAUGUGCGCUUGCGUUCAGGAAAUGCACACAUGGCCGUCUGCUCCUCCUCCGCCACCGUCGCCUUAACACAUCCUCUUCCCCAAUGUGCUAAAGAACAACGCACACCAUGAUGAUUUCUACAUAACAUCAGCUCCUAUGUCUCCCUCUCUCGCUGUCUCGCUCCAGUCUUCAUCAGCAGCCCCUGGGGUUAUGAGUGCAGCGGCGCAACAUCUGUCACCGAUCUGUCAGAUGUGCGUGGUGUGUGUUCUUUUCUGGGUUUCCAGAAGGAAAUGGGUGUUUUAUUCGCGCUACUUAAUGGUUGAUAAAUCAUUUUGGCCUAUUAAUGCUUUAUAGAUAUUCUGGGUGACAAGCAGUGUAAUAUCUCAUUAGUUUAUUUCUAGAAAAAGGCUGCAGAAUAGCUUGACCAGAAUCUAUUCACUCACAACUUUUAACAUUUACAACUGUCAAUUUGGUAAUUAAUACCCCCUAUUAUUAACGUUCGCAGCUGCAAACCUGACAUUGAAAUAAUUUAAUAAUCACUUAGUAAUGUAUUUAUAACCAAAUACCGUAUUUAAACCCUUUAUUGAUGACUUAUUAACAUCUAUAACUGCAUACAUGGUGAUUAAAACCCUCUGUUAAUGACUUAUUAGCCGUUCAUCGUAGACUAGAUAACCAAUCCCUUUGUUAUUUACUUGGCAUUAGUUAAGAGCUUGAUUAUUCGUCUAUGCUUUUAAAAAGUGAGCUAUUGUCAGGGUAUAUUUGCAGUUUAGACUUGCACUCAAAUUAUUAUUCUUUUCUGGUGUGCACUUUUGAGACAGUCCAUGCAUACCUAAACACAGUUGAAUGCACCAUUAACUGCCUCUCUAAAUUUCAAUUGAAAUCAAGGUCAGGGAUUUUGCUCUAGAAUCAGGGAGACAUUUUUGUGAUGCAUUGCUCAGGGAUAAAUGCCAAGAUGCUCUCCCCAAGGGUAAAUGCCAAACAAAACAAAUUAGUUUACUUUUUUUUUGUGCCCUAAACGUAAUUACUAGAACUUAAUAAAUUCUCAGUAAGAAAGUAUAGAGAGCAGUGCAUCCAGGUCCUGUGGGUAGACUGGUUUUUACAUUUUAUGAACUGCAGUGUUUCUGUGACUCCAAAUAGCUGCAAUGAUUUUGCUUGUUGACACCAGUUAUACCAAUAAUUACACAAAUCAAGGUCAGUGCAACGUUCACUGAUGCGAAACCAAUGUGUUGUGUGAUUUAUGUAAUGAAGGUUCCCUCCAUUUUCAAUCUAAUUCCCCCAGAACAAAACAGUCUACAGAGUUUUUAAGCCUUAUCUGAAAAGACAAGAGGUUCUUCUAUUUCAUUAUCAGCUUAACAAUAACAUAAGGUGACUCAAAUAAAAGCUGUGCACCACGGUG